GGGGAUGCAGUGCAGGGGGACAUAUACCAUUUUUACAGCUUGUAAGUAGUUUUAGGUACAAGGGCAAUCAGUUAAAAAUGUACAUUUCUGAGAGGAGGAUUUGCAAAGAUGCAAAUGAUUGUAUUUCUCUAAAACUGAACUGCAUGAAGUGCACAAGCCCCCACUUCUCUCAGCAGCAGGAAGAUCAUGAACUUCCCAGCAACGCAAGACCUUGCCAUGUGCCCAAAGGGAUGUCUCCAGGAAGGGCCACCAGGCCCUUUGUCAUGGACCCGCGAGGUGUCUGGAGCUCCA
rnacentral:lncRNA from 1 species